GGGUUGCCACUAGCUAGCUGUCGCCU
rnacentral:piRNA from 1 species